UGCUAACCUGACUGUCCUUCUUAGGACAUGCU
rnacentral:piRNA from 1 species